CAGCGCACGAGGCCUUUACUGACGCUAAAGCUCGAAGGUGCGGGUAUCGAACAGGAUUAGAUACCCUGGUAGUCCGCACGGUAAACGAUGGAUGCCCGCUGUUUGCGAUACACUGUGAGCGGCCAAGCGAAAGCGUUAAGCAUCCCACCUGGGGAGUACGCCGGCAACGGUGAAACUCAAAGGAAUUGACGGGGGCCCGCACAAGCGGAGGAACAUGUGGUUUAAUUCGAUGAUACGCGAGGAACCUUACCCGGGCUUGAACUGCCGGCGAACGAUACAGAGAUGUUGAGGCCCUUCGGGGCGCCGGCGGAGGUGCUGCAUGGUUGUCGUCAGCUCGUGCCGUGAGGUGUCGGCUUAAGUGCCAUAACGAGCGCAACCCCUCUCCGUAGUUGCCAUCGGGUGAUGCCGGGCACUCUGCGGACACUGCCACCGUAAGGUGUGAGGAAGGUGGGGAUGACGUCAAAUCAGCACGGCCCUUACGUCCGGGGCUACACACGUGGACAAUGGGUGGUACAGAGGGCAGGCGUCCGGCAACGUCCGUCUAAUCCCGAAAGCCAUCCUCAGUUCGGACUGGGGUCUGCAACCCGACCCCACGAAGCGG
rnacentral:rRNA from 1 species